rnacentral:rRNA from 1 species
AUGCAAGUCGAACGAAGUAGCAAUACUUAGUGGCAGACGGGUGAGUAACAUGUAGGUAUCUGCCCUUUGGCCUGGAAUAACACGAGGAAACUUGUGCUAAUACCGGAUAAGUCUUUACGGAGAAAGCUUUAUGCACCAUUGGAUGAGCCUGCACUUGAUUAGUUUGUUGGUAGGGUAAUGGCCUACCAAGACUGUGAUCAAUAGCUGAUUUGAGAGGAUGAUCAGCCACAUUGGGACUGAGACACGGCCCAAACUCCUACGGGAGGCAGCAGUGGGGAAUCUUGCACAAUGGAGGAAACUCUGAUGCAGCGAUGCCGCGUGAGUGAAGAAGGCCCUUGGGUUGUAAAGCUCUUUCGUCGGGGAAGAAAAUGACUGUACCCGAAUAAGAAGG